AUUCUGGGAGCUGUUGGGAGGGAAUGAAUGUGUCAUCAGGUAAGGGCUUGCUGCCCAUCAUGUAUGGAAGCCAAUAAUACUAUGGCACUUGAUUUUUGCAAAAAGAAAAAGGUUCAUUGGGUAGUCGAUAGCUUAGGAGGCCAGAAGCUAAAAGCAGAGCUCAAAUCUGCUGUCCCAUAAGUUGGUAGUGGUGGGAUUUGUGGUAGGGGAGAAAUGACACAGAGCUCGUUGGUGGGAAGGGAGAUGGAGGGUCUCAGAAUCUCUCUGUGUGGGGGGCAAGCAGUCCUUUUGGCUCUGCACAGGUUGCACGCCUCUUUGCGGGAGAGUGAUCACAUUCUGGGCAAGAGAUUUGGGGCUUGUGAUGUCGUGGAGGAGAGAACUGCUGCUUCUGCUCAUGUCCACUCUUGAAAAUCCCAUUCUAAGCUGUCCUCGAGUGCAUUCUGGAGGCUUUUCCUGAAAGCAAACUCAAGACUUUGCUAUUUAAGGAAUUUAUGGCUGGCUGUGCCCCGGCCUUGGCCAAUUUCAAAUAUAUUUCGCAUAAAAGAAUCAAGGAUUCGGGGUUGCUGAGGCAGAAUGCCAUGCUCUGAAUGUUUGUGCCUCCUCCAGAUUCAAAUCCUAACCUCUGUGGUGAUGCUAUUAGGAG
rnacentral:lncRNA from 1 species